GACGAACGCUGGCGGCGUGCUUAACACAUGCAAGUCGAACGGAAAGGCCCUGCUUUUGUGGGGUGCUCGAGUGGCGAACGCGUGAGUAACACGUGAGUAACCUGCCCUUGACUUUGGGAUAACUUCAGGAAACUGGGGCUCAUACCGGUUAGGAGCUCCUGCUGCAUGGUGGGGGUUGGAAAGUUUCGGCGGUUGGGGAUGGACUCGCGGCUUAUCAGCUUGUUGGUGGGGUAGUGGCUUACCAAGGCUUUGACGGGUAGCCGGCCUGAGAGGGGGACCGGCCACAUGGGGACUGAGAUACGGCCCAGACUCCUACGGGAGGCAGCAGUGGGGAAUAUUGCACAAUGGGCGGAAGCCUGAUGCAGCAACGCCGCGUGCGGGAUGACGGCCUUCGGGUGUGAAACCGCUUUCGCCUGUGACGAAGCGUGAGUGGCGGUAAUGGGUAAAGAAGCACCGGCUAACUACGUG
rnacentral:rRNA from 1 species